rnacentral:rRNA from 1 species
UAGGGAAUCUUCGGCAAUGGGGGGAACCCUGACCGAGCAACGCCGCGUGAGUGAAGAAGGUUUUCGGAUCGUAAAGCUCUGUUGUUAAGGAAGAACGAGUGUGAGAAUGGAAAGUUCAUGCUGUGACGGUACUUAACCAGAAAGGGACGGCUAACUACGUGCCAGCAGCCGCGGUAAUACGUAGGUCCCGAGCGUUGUCCGGAUUUAUUGGGCGUAAAGCGAGCGCAGGCGGUUAGAAAAGUCUGAAGUGAAAGGCAGUGGCUCAACCAUUGUAGGCUUUGGAAACUGUUAACUUGAGUGCAGAAGGGGAGAGUGGAAUUCCAUGUGUAGCGGUGAAAUGCGUAGAUAUAUGGAGGAACACCGGUGGCGAAAGCGGCUCUCUGGUCUGUAACUGACGCUGAGGCUCGAAAGCGUGGGGAGCGAACAGG